CUUGUGGUUCAAAAUUUGGUUUGCUAAAUGUAUUUAUUUAGCAAAUUUAUAUCUUGUCUUUCUUCCAUCACAGAAUUCAAGAUACCUUACAGGGAGUUUCCAGGAAGCCUCCCAUCCAAGUACUGACCAGGUCAAGACCUGCUUAGCUUCAACAAGGUGACUAUUCAACUCUGCUUGAAUGGGACUCCUCCUUCCUAAUCCCAGUUGUGUUAGAAUUGGCUAUGGUGGCUCAGUGGUGGGGGAUGCAGUUAACACCUUGGCACUCAAAAUAGGUCUAUAUCUGCACUCAAGUGUGAUCUGGCUCAGAUUAAGCUUUGGGGUGGUGGUGCAGAACCUUCUGUCUUUUGUGCAGCUGGUAUGUAGCCUAUUGUGGGACGCGGGUGGCGCUGUGGGUUAAACCACAGAGCCUAGGACUUGCUGAUCAGAAGGUCGGCGGUUUGAAUCCCCACGACAGGGUGAGCUCCCGUUGCUCGGUCCCUGCUCCUGCCAACCUAGUAGUUCGAUAGCACCACAAAGUGCAAGUAGAUAAAUAGGUACCACUCCGGCGGCGCUGCUCUGGUUCUCCAGAAGCGGCUUAGUCAUUCUGGCAAUAUGACCCGGAAGCUGUACGCCGGCUCCCUCGGCCAGUAAAGCGAGGUGAGCGCCGCAACCCCAGAGUCAUUUGCGACUGGACCUAAUGGUCAGGGGUCCCUUUACCUUUACCUUAAUCCAGUGGUGCAACCUAAUGCAACACCAUCUUCCUCUCUCUCAUUAUUUCUGCCGCUGACCAACACCAUCUAUCCAGAUCAUCUUCCAAUGUCCAGCAUUUUAUUUUAGAAAAAGAAAGUAGGAGGAAGUAAUGACCUGUGUUUGCUCCAUUCCUCCUGAUGUCCUUUUAGGCUUGAGGCCAGCUAGGUUUCGAAAGAAAAUAGGAAGUUCAAGAUUUGCAGGAGUGAGGUGGAGGGAUUCUGCCAACAGGAUUUUGUUACUGUCUGGUGCUGAAAGGAAGGCAGUAAAAGGAGAGGCUUGGAAAGCUAUUCUGAGUCUUCUGCCUCCAGGCUUGAUCGUAGAGGAAAACUCUAUUAAUUAGUGUCUGGCUCAAAUCCACCAGCAGUGUCCACAUUUUCGAAGGUUGCUAGAUAGCCUCCAGCUCUCAGCUCACCUGAUGGACUUCCUUCUCUGGAAACCUCUGGGCCUAAAAUUGGCUUUGCUAAGACAAAAAAAGAGUUGUAUUCAGCAUUUCUGAGUUAAUUAGUCUCUCUUCUGUCCGAGACAGUGGACUGCUCUCUCCGGUCAAGAUGCCAGAAGGGGUUUGAAAUGUUAGUGAGUUAAGGAAACUAUGGCAAGGUUUUGGCAUCAGCUUUUGGUGACUUUGUCUCUCAGCAAUUUGUGUGAAUUUCCCCUGAGUCAGAAGGAGAAUGGUAGGGUCUGAGGCUCCUGCCCCAGCAGAUGACCAGUGCUGCAAUCAUGAGAUUCUUCAGGCUAGUACUAAUAAUCUUUUGUAGAGUUUGGCCAGACCGAGUCAGAGGUGGUUCAGAAGUGUUUUUGUCAAGAAGCAGGUUUGGAAUACAAAAUCCUGUUGUGGGUAGCAGUGGAGGGGUCAGUGUAUUUGGGGUCCAUGUCACUUUCACCUGUGUUCAUUCAUAAAUCUGUUCUGAUUCUGCGUUAAUCCAUUCUGAGUUUUUUAAUCCAUACAAAAAAAAUCACAUUUAAACAUUAUCUCAAAUACUCAUUUAAAAAAUGCAUUUGAUACAGUUUUGUUUUAGCUGAGAACUGUGCCACAUUAGGAAAAGUGCAACAUGGAUGUUCUGUUUAACACAUUAGUCCGGCAGGUGCGGAUCAGUUCAUUUUUGUAUGAGAAUUCACAGAGAUGGAACUAUUCCAGUGCCUCCAGACAUGGGGCUUGUGCAUCUAAUGGGAGGGAGAAAUGAAGAGGAUGCAUUUCAGGUGUGGAAGAAAAGGACUGGGAACUCAUGCAGCCUGUUCUUUAGCAGAGCUGCUUUCAGUCCAUGUGCCUCCCCCACCCUCCAAAAGGCCAUUAUGAUACAUCACUGGUUCCCUGCUGGAAUUAUGACAGCGCUCCCUCCCCUCUCCCAAUAAUGUCAAAGGACUCAGCUCAGGUAACACAGAACUGGGCAACCUUUUUCACCUCUAGAGCUGCAACUGGUUCUGGGCAACAUUCUAGGCCAGUGAUGGGUAGAGCCAGAAGCAAAAGUGGGUGGAGCAACACAUGUAAAUUUUGCCAUCUGUAGGCUAAUUUCCUCCUUCUUCUUUGGCAAUCACUCGUAACCGAGUAAGAUUGUCUUCCAUAAACACGGUUUUAACAAUGAGUCUGUAAGUGACUGUGGAGGCCAGUUCUGGAUCCACACGUCCUUCCACAUUGGGGACAUUGGUUUCUGGGUGGGAGUUGAUCACGGUGUGGAUUUGCCAGGCGUGCCUUCCUCUUAGCACGUUUCUCCCUUGAGUCCUGAAUUCGAGUGUCUUCAAAGCCCAUAAUACCUUUGGUAAAGGCUGUUCUCCAACUGGAGCGCUCGCAGGCCAGUGUUUCCCAGUUUUCAGUGUUCAUACUACCUUUUUGUAGAUUUGCCUUGAGACAGUCUUUAAACCUCUCACCCUAUAUCCUCCUUCCAGGCAAACAAGAGGCAUGAUCAGACUUCAGGGAUACAUUCCAGCCUGCUAAAAAAAACGAAAAGUGAAAAGCAGACACAGUGUGACCCAGGGAGAGUUUCAACAGCCAGAUAUAGUGGCUUGGGGGGCUGCGUAGCUCUAUACCCCCCCCCCCACCUGCAGGCCUAAGGUUUCCAACCCCUGCUCUAUUAGUUAAAGGUAAAGGUACCCCUGCCCGUACGGGCCAGUCGUGUCCAACUCUAGCGUUGCGUGCUCAUCUCUCUCUAGAGGCCGUGAGCUGGCGCCGUCCGAAGACACUUCCGGGUCACGUGGCCAGCGUGACGAAGCUGCAGCUGGCAAGCCAGCACCAGCGCAGCACACAGAUACACCGUUUACCUGCCUGCUAUAAAGUGGUACCUAUUUAUCUACUUGCACUUAAGAGUGCUUUCGAACUGCUAGGUGGGCAGGCGCUGGGACCGAACAACGGGAGCUCACCCCGCUGCGGGGAUUCAAACCGCCGACCUUGCAAUCAGCAAGUCCUAGGCACUGAGGUUUUACCGACAGCGCCACCCGCGUCCCCAGCUCUAUUAGUUACUCUUGUUCUUAUCACUGAUUUGUUAGGCAGAGUAAAGAGAAGCCACAGGGUGCCUCAGAUUUAUUUUUUUAAUCUGUUUUCUCAAUGCUUGGACCCGCAUCCAGUCCAGGUACCGAAAGGGUUGGGGAGAACAAAAUGGGAAAGAGUUCUGUAACCAGUGUUUGCAGUCCAUUUACAAAACAUCCUGCCAAUGAUCCUACUCGGCUCCUGCUGUCAGCAGCGGCAGAACUGGAGCUAUUUUAAUGAGCUGAGGGAUUAAACCAAGGGAAACGCAAAUUGUACAGUUGUGCUCUCUGUUUGUUGACGACGCAUUCCAUGCAUCAAGGAUCAAGUUCCUUAAAAGAAGUCUGUUAUGCCUAUCCAUUCUACUCCUUUGUG